GUCUUCCUAUGGAACUUCUUUCUGUCUACUGGUAGCAAAUUAUGAAUUUGCACAAGAAGGGAAAAGCCACAGAACUAGUGCUAUUUUACCUUUUGUCUUUAGAGAGGUAUAUUUGGCUCUUUUUUUGAGAAAUUC
rnacentral:snoRNA from 1 species